rnacentral:rRNA from 1 species
UGGGGAAUAUUGGACAGUGGGGGCAACCCUGAUCCAGCCAUGCCGCGUGCGUGAAGAAGGCCUUAGGGUUGUAAAGCGCUUUCACUGGUGAAGAUGAUGACGGUAGCCAGAGAAGAAGCCCCGGCUAACUCCGUGCCAGCAGCCGCGGUAAUACAGAGGGUGCGAACGUUGCUCGGAUUUACUGGGCGUAAAGCGCGUGUAGGCGGACUCGCAAGUCGGUUGUGAAAUCCCUGGGCUCAACCUAGGAACUGCAUCCGAAACUGCUUGUCUUGAGUAAUGGAGAGGGUGGCGGAAUUCCCGGUGUAGAGGUGAAAUUCGUAGAUAUCGGGAGGAACAUCAGUGGCGAAGGCGGCCACCUGGACAUUUACUGACGCUGAGACGCGAAAGCGUGGGGAGCAAACAGGAUUAGAUACCCCCGUAGUCC